rnacentral:rRNA from 1 species
GACGAACGCUGGCGGCGUGCUUAACACAUGCAAGUCGAACGGAAAGGCCCUGCUUUUGUGGGGUGCUCGAGUGGCGAACGGGUGAGCAACACGUGAGUAACCUGCCCUUGACUUUGGGAUAACUUCAGGAAACUGGGGCUAAUACCGGAUAGGAGCUCCUGCUGCAUGGUGGGGGUUGGAAAGUUUCGGCGGUUGGGGAUGGACUCGCGGCUUAUCAGCUUGUUGGUGGGGUAGUGGCUUACCAAGGCUUUGACGGGUAGCCGGCCUGAGAGGGUGACCGGCCACAUUGGGACUGAGAUACGGCCCAGACUCCUACGGGAGGCAGCAGGGGGGAAUAUUGCACAAUGGGCGGAAGCCUGAUGCAGCAACGCCGCGUGCGGGAUGACGGCCUUCGGGUUGUAAACCGCUUUCGCCUGUGACGAAGCGUGAGUGACGGUAAUGAGUAAAGAAGCACCGGCUAACUACGUG